rnacentral:rRNA from 1 species
UACAGAGGUCCCGAGCGUUGUUCGGAUUCACUGGGCGUAAAGCGCGCGUAGGCGGCUUUGUAAGUUAGGGGUGAAAGCCCGGGGCUCAACCCCGGAACUGCCUUUAAGACUGCAUCGCUUGAAUCCGGGAGAGGUGAGUGGAAUUCCGAGUGUAGAGGUGAAAUUCGUAGAUAUUCGGAAGAACACCAGUGGCAAAGGCGGCUCACUGGACCGGUAUUGACGCUGAUGUGCGAAAGCGUGGGGAGCAAACAGG